rnacentral:rRNA from 1 species
UACGAAGGGGGCGAGCGUUGUUCGGAUUUACUGGGCGUAAAGGGCGCGUAGGCGGCUUUGUAAGUUAGAGGUGAAAGCCCGGGGCUCAACUCCGGAAUUGCCUUUAAGACUGCAUCGCUAGAAUUGUGGAGAGGUAAGUGGAAUUCCGAGUGUAGAGGUGAAAUUCGUAGAUAUUCGGAAGAACACCAGUGGCGAAGGCGACUUACUGGACACAUAUUGACGCUGAGGUGCGAAAGCGUGGGGAGCAAACAGG